AGCUUGUCUUCCUUGAGAUUUUGGUUGAGAGGUUUAGGAAGACACUGACACCGUCGCUCAGAAGGUGUGACUGGGAGGAAAUAGACGCAGAGUUGGCGAAUAAGCUUCAUAUUAGAUUGGGUGUUGAGAGGUUUGAAGGAGGUAGACUGACUGAAGCAAAAGUAUUAUGCAUGCCUUUACAACGUUGCUUCAACGUACUGGUAUAGGCUGGGAUUCAGCGAGCAACACCUUUACGGCUCCUGAUCAUGUAUGGACUGCUUUCUGUCAGAGGGGUAAGGUAUAUAGCAGGUUAAGGUCAAAAAGGGUGCGAGAACUACGCGUUACCUGACAAGCUCUUUGGCAAAACCAGUGCCACAGGUGCUUUUCGACAUGCAUCAACUGAAGCAACGCUAACAUCCUCUGAGGAACCACUAUUUUGCUCUCUCUCUCUCUCUCUCUUCAUAAAAUGUUUUCCGCUUGCAUUUUUUUUUUUUGGGUAGAAAAUAUCUUGCACUUGUUAACUAAGUUCUAGGUCUUUCCUAUUAACCAAGUUCUAAUGAUGCAGUUCUGUGAGAUCACUUGCUGAUUACGAGGCAUCUUAGGAUUCUACAUUGAAAGUCCAAUUUGAAAAUGUUUACUUAGUGAACCAUAACAUGACUAUAUCGUUUGACACUCAUUCCCUUUAUUUGUCGUAGAAAGGUGAUGACUAUUUUCCAUUGCCUCAGGUAAAAUAGUUCCUCAAUUAGGGCUCGGGUGAAAGCACUCGACUAAAUAUGCACUUCUUGAUUGAGAGUUUUAGUAUUUUCGCAGAACAAGUUACGCGCUUGAAAUGUUUUGGAAAUGUGGUUUCAGUUAUGCCCUUUUUUAAUCAAAUUUCUUCUAAAGGGGUUUAUGAAUUCAUGAUAAAUUUAAUUUUGUCCAGAGUAGUUCUUGAAGUGUCAAACUUAGGGAGAACGGACGGGAUGAAGCAGAAGCUGCAUGUAACACCCUUUGAGGGAAGGAAAAGGCGGCACCGGUGGAAUGCAUACAGAAAUAGAAGAAAUAGAAGAAACCAAAGCAUUUAUACAGCGUAAAGCAUGAUGGCUCUAUCAUGUGGUGGCUGCUUCUCAGUAGGAUGACGAUCUGGAGGUGAUACUGGAGGAACCGCUGCAUGGUGAACAUCCGCGUGUCGCCGCAAGGCUCAUCUUGAGUUGUAGGUCAUUGGGUGAGCUUCGGGCGAGCAACUUUAUCUGAUCAAGGGCCGAGGUACAGGGGAACUGCUGCUAGCAGAGCUUAUUAGCAGUGAAGUUUUGCAUAUAUAUAAUGGUUGUUAUGUUAUAUACAACUUUGUGGAUGUCAAUGUUGCAAUCACUCGUGGAUGAGCCGAAUUCGACAGGCCGGCAGCCAUUCGAUUGGCUGUAUUGAAUCCUUGUCCCCCUGAAUUGACAAAAUUCGGAAAAGCAUUAUUAGGAGGUGUUAUUGUAGUAGGGUGGUUGUCCCUAGUCCAUUUUUGUAUCCUCUCGGUUCUAUUCCAUCCCUUCGGCUCUUUUCCCAUUCCUCUC